rnacentral:rRNA from 1 species
UGGCUCAGGAUGAACGCUAGCUACAGGCUUAACACAUGCAAGUCGAGGGGCAGCGGUAUCGAAAGCUUGCUUUCGGUAGCCGGCGACCGGCGCACGGGUGAGUAACGCGUAUCGAACCUGCCUCAUACUCGGGAAUAGCCUUGCGAAAGUAAGAUUAAUGCCCGGUGUUUUCAGAGUCCCGCAUGAGGCUUUGAACAAAGAUUUAUCGGUAUGAGAUGGCGAUGCGUCCCAUUAGCUUGUUGGCGGGGUAACGGCCCACCAAGGCAUCGAUGGGUAGGGGUUCUGAGAGGAAGGUCCCCCACAUUGGAACUGAGACACGGUCCAAACUCCUACGGGAGGCAGCAGUGAGGAAUAUUGGUCAAUGGGCGGAAGCCUGAACCAGCCAAGUAGCGUGCAGGAAGACGGCCCUCCGGGUUGUAAACUGCUUUUAGUUGGGAAUAAAACGGGGCUCGUGAGCCCCCUUGCAUGUACCAUCAGAAAAAGGACCGGCUAAUUCCGUGCCAGCAGCCGCGGUAAUACGGAAGGUCCGGGCGUUAUCCGGAUUUAUUGGGUUUAAAGGGAGCGCAGGCGGACCUUUAAGUCAGCUGUGAAAUACGGCGGCUCAACCGUCGAACUGCAGUUGAUACUGGAGGUCUUGAGUGCACACAGGGAUGCUGGAAUUCAUGGUGUAGCGGUGAAAUGCUCAGAUAUCAUGAAGAACUCCGAUCGCGAAGGCAGGCAUCCGGGGUGCAACUGACGCUGAGGCUCGAAAGUGCGGGUAUCAAACAGGAUUAGAUACCCUGGUAGUCCGCACAGUAAACGAUGAAUACUCGCGGUUUGCGAUACAAUGUAAGCCGCCAAGCGAAAGCGUUAAGUAUUCCACCUGGGGAGUACGCCGGCAACGGUGAAACUCAAAUGAAUUGACGG